rnacentral:lncRNA from 1 species
CUUUAAUCUUGAUAUAAUCAUGGAAAUGUCUUAGGACUUUUAGAACUUAAUUAUUCUGUUAGCCUCACGUCUUCCUUUGUGUUGGUCUUUGGUUCAUUACUUUGGUCCCAUCCGUCCUCUGACCUAUCAAGAAGUGAUUAAAGGAAGAAAAAAAAAUAUUUCGGGAUAUCGUCUGUGACCUGUCUCCUUGGCUGACAAUUGUCUCUUUCUCAAUGCCCUCCUUUUCUUUUGUCUUCUUUUCUUUUUCUUUUCUACCUUAUUUCUAAGGAGAUAACACGUGCGUUCCUCUAGCUUGGGCCUCGUGGAACAGUUGUAGAGCCGGCGGAACCACCCUCUGAGAAGUUAGUACAUUGUGCUUUGUUUCAGAAUAUUUCUGGGUCUACUUUUUAUUUUAUCAGUUGGAGCCCAGUGAGACAGCAAUCCACCUAGAGAUCAUCUUUGGGUCAAGGAAGAAAUGGGAAAAAGGAAUCUCAAAGGAAUGGUCUAUGGAGAUUCUGUCUUGAAAAGAUUAAAACUGUGGUUCUAAUACAUUUAUCCAGACAGAUUUGUCUACAGAUCUGUGAUAUAGAUUAUUGUAUGUGUGUAUUACUCAAAACUUCUUCACUUAUAAGUGAAGGAAACUGAUCUCAAUCUGGCUUAAGCCAGGAAGUCUUCAAGGAUGACUGGCUUCUGGAACUCCAGCAGUUUGCUAAUUCUCUCUUGUUCUUUCUCUCUCCUUGACCCUUCCCUCUUUUUUUCUCUUCUUGCUUGCCUCUCCAUCUUUCUGUGUGUUGCCUUUCUUCUUUCCUGCCAACGGUUAGCUCUCUGCAUAUGAUGGGAAAGGUGGCUGCUGGCAGAUCCAGUCCACACAGAAAAGAGUCGCCUUUCUCCCAGCAUUCAUAGAACGUCUCCCGGGGAAGUACUGGAAUUGGCCCUAAAAGGAUUCCAUGACCACCUCAUGGCUCAGUCACUGUGAAUAGGGAAUUGGGAGCCUGGAUGUGUAUGUGCUCAUCUCUGCUGACAGGCUGUGGACCAAACCUAUGACUGGUUGCCAUACCAUAUUGGAUGGAGGAAGGGCAACUCAGCAAAGGAAGACUGGUCUGCUGCUACCAGAAUUAGGGUACAAGAAAGCGUGUUGGGAAGGCCAUAUUUACUACAAUAUGGAUCUCUGUAUAUUGCUACGUAUAUAGCAAACCAAAAAAUCAACAUACUUAGAGGGAUAUUUGAUGUUAAUUUACAUUUAUUGAAUACCUACUAUAGAUAGAAAAUGGUUCCAGGUGCUACUGUGUACUUUUUUAUGAUAACAAAUAAUAAGUGCACAUUGCAUUUUCAUGAUGGUUUCAUAUCUGUUGUCUAAAGAAUUCUCAAAGAGACAUAUUUCUUCUGUUUAACAAAAUAUCAUGCAGAGGUUAGGGAACUUGCUUAUGAACAGUCCUGCUAAGUUUCACCGUGUUUUUAAACAGUUGUUUACUAACAAAAUAGAGAUUUUUCAAGUAUAUGUAUAUAUUUAAACUGUAUAUUAUGGACGAUGGAAAAGUACCUUAAGAUCACUGUCCUGAGCAGUUACUGCCCUUGAGUCUUGUUUCUAGACCUCAUCGAUACGUCGUUAACACUUAGAUCAAUAAACAAUUAUUGUUCUUUGUGAGAUGCUGUGAGAAGAUUUGGAAAGUUUACAGGUAAGAGGCAUACUUUACCAGGGACUGUCAAAUGUACAACUAAGGACUAAAAUGUAUUAUUUAUAGAUCUAUCUAUUAUCUACCUAUCUAUCUAUCUAUCAUCUACCUACCUACCCAUCUAUCUAAGUCCAGAAAGAUCUGUAUAUAUCUAUCAACCAAAGUCAUAUAAAAGAUAUUUGAAUUUUUUUUUCCUUCUACAGAUUUCCACAGGGAGCAGAGCUGAUAUUACUGGCUCUGUGCCUCAUGUGCCAGUGAACAUUCAAAUACCACUACGUUUCUCAAAACUCUGGUCAUAAAAAUUAUUUGAAAAUACACAUUUCCAGUUUCCUCCUUGAAAUUUGGAUGUAGUGAGUCUGGGGUGGGGCUUGGAAUCAAUGUUUUUAAUCCAAGUGAUUUAAGUAUGGGAAAUAUUGGAUUACCUCCUUUAAUUUGACAAAUUAAUGACAAUUACACCACUCGAUAUUCCAAAAUGAAUAUCAGCAGUUGUUAUUUCAUGUUCUUUGUUUUAGUAUUUUGGGCUUCACAUUUCAUGGAACUACCAUUGUCAUCUCCAGAGAAUCCUUUCAUUUUGGAACUGAAGUUGCCUCUGCUCAGCUAAGGUCUUUUUUAAGGUGAUAUUUGAGGGUCUUUGGUUACUCAUGAUGGCCUGAAGGAGAGGAGAGGAAAAUCAGAACUCAAAGGGCAAUUGCUCCAAAAUGGCUGACCUAGUUCUAAGGAUGAGGACCAACCAGGAAGCAGCAUGCUUUGAUAAGUGUGUAAUGAAAAAUUUACUAGCAGAGGAAACAAGCCUGGAAAUGGAUGGGAGCCAAGAACAUCUGUGUUCCUGGUAUCCCAAAUGUGUGGAAGGAACAGAUGCAGCUGAAUAUAUAACAGAAACCCUGGCACAAUUCCUAAUAAUGUGGAGGAGAACUCUGGAUGUGCACAGGCUUUCUGAAACUCAGAAAAAUGAAAAAUACUGGGGAACUCCCAAGUAAUAAUAUUAGCUAUCUUCAGGAGAGAUAUUAUUAAAGUGGCUCAAGACAUCGAAGACAGCUUAUUUACAUAACAGAAAAGGAAGUUACCCAUUGCACACACCCGAUAAGACAACUCAGCAAAUAUAUUGUUUAUAAAUAUAACAAUACAAUUACAUUUAAGCAUAAAUAUGAGAAGUGAAGCAUAAGAUUUGUUUUAUACUUGCUUCUUAUGUUCGCUAUGAAACUAUAAUCUCUUUCAAGACCGGCACAUAAGCUUCUCCUUACUAAGUAGUUUCAUACUUUUCAUGGGCUCAGCCAAUAGUUCUAAGAAUGACUGCACUGAGGUAGCUAGAGAUUAGAACAAAUAUAAAGUGCAACUAGGAAGAGGCAGGUCAUAGCAGCUGCUGUUUUGCUUAUUCCAUUAUACCAAGAAAAUUUAUUUUAAAGCUCUUAUUAAAUGAGUAUGUGGGUAGGCCACAGUAGUUGGCAUAAUUUUAAUAUUGUGUAUGUGGUUGGGGUGGGCAGAGAACACCCUUUCCUUGGCUACAUUCUGGCUAGGAUUGGCCGUGUGGUACAAUUCUGAUCCAUGAAAUGUAAGUGGAAUUCUGUUGGGUCAUUUUUUGUUUUGUUGAUAAAAAUAGAUAGACUAGGCUGGCAUGCCCCUUGGCCUUUCCUUCUUCCUGCCUGCAAUGUGGUGAGGAUACUAGAGACGCAACAGCCACACUGUGAUUAUGAGGUGACCAACACAAAGAUGAAAGCAGAUCCCCUAAACGUGACUGAGUGGAAGGAUCUUUUGACUCCCUCGUGGCCACUGCACCAACACUACACUGCUAUCCCUGGCCUUUGUUUAUGUGAGAAGAGAAAAACUAAUCUGUUUAAGCUACACUUGGUCAAGAUUUCUGAUACUUGCUGCUGAACACAUUCUUAAUGGAUGUAGUCAUUAUAAACUAUUAAUAACUCCAGUUCUGUAUGAAAUUUUAAAGUAUGUUUUCAGUAUCCUUAGCCUUGCUUUUCUGCACAAUUUCCUGAGUCGCUAUUGUCAGAGCUACCUGUCCUCGAUGAACACACCAAUUAUUUACGUGUCAAAUCUUCUCAUCUGUUCUGG